CUGGUCGUGACAUCUCACAUAAUUUGCAUAGAUCUCACUGUGCCUUCUCCAACCGUGAAACCUGUGCUGCCUGGUUGUCUACUGAUCCUGUUGUGAAAUGUUGGGUUAAGUCCCGCAACGAGCGCAACCCUUAUCCUUUGUUGCCAGCGGUCCGGCCGGGAACUCAAAGGAGACUGCCAGUGAUAAACUGGAGGAAGGUGGGGAUGACGUCAAGUCAUCAUGGCCCUUACAACCAGGGCUACACACGUGCUACAAUGGCGCAUACAAAGAGAAGCGACCUCGCGAGAGCAAGCGGACCUCAUAAAGUGCGUCGUAGUCCGGAUUGGAGUCUGCAACUCGACUCCAUGAAGUCGGAAUCGCUAGUAAUCGUGGAUCAGAAUGCCACGGUGAAUACGUUCCCGGGCCUUGUACACACC
rnacentral:rRNA from 1 species